GAUGAAGAACGCAGCGAAAUGCGAUAAGUAAUGUGAAUUGCAGAAUCCAGUGAAUCAUCGAAUCUUUGAACGCACAUUGCGCCCGCCAGCAUUCUGGCGGGCAUGCCUGUUCGAGCGUCAUUUCAACCCUCGACCUCCCCUUGGGGAGGUCGGCGUGGGGGACCGGCAGCACACCGCCGGCCCUGAAAUGGAGUGGCGGCCCGUCUGCGGCGACCUCUGCGUAGUAAUACAGCUCGCACCGGAACCCCGACGCGGCCACGCCGUAAAACACCCAACUUCUGAACGUUGACCUCGAAUCAGGUAGGACUACCCGCUGAACUUAAGCAUAUCAAUAAGCGGAGGA
rnacentral:misc_RNA from 1 species